rnacentral:rRNA from 1 species
GUCUACGGCCAUGCUACCCUGAACAAGCCAGAUCCCGUCUGAUCUCGAAAGCUAAGCAGGGUCUGGCCUGGUUAGUACUUGGAUGGGAGACCACCAAGGAAGACCAGGUGCUGUAGGCA